rnacentral:snRNA from 1 species
GUCUCUUUCGAGACAUCCUAUAAACUUGAAACGAUAUAUAUAUAAGAUUAGCAUAACCACCGUACACAAAUAUGACAUGCACAAAUCAAAAAAAUGAUCUAAAAUUUU